GAUCAUUAUCAUGUAAUUCNNNUCCCNUUGGCUGUGUUAUAUAUAUACCCACUCUGUGUACCUUCUCCUGUUGCUUCCGCUGGGUGUGUAAUUCGCCCGGCGGAAGGGUAAAAAUAACCUCUGAGUAUUGAUGAAAUCUCUGUCUGAACCGAAUAGAAAGAAAAAUGUUAAAACUUUCAGCAACGGAUCUCUUGGUUCUCGCAUCGAUGAAGAACGCANCGAAAUGCGAUAAGUANUGUGAAUUGCAGAAUUCANUGAAUCAUCNAAUCUUUGAACGCACAUUGCGCCUUCUGGUAUUCCGGGAGGCAUGCCUGUUCGAGAGUCAUUAACAACCAUCUCGAAUCCCUUUCUUUUCCGUAUCCGGAGGGUGGGGGGGAAUCGGUG
rnacentral:misc_RNA from 1 species